rnacentral:rRNA from 1 species
CCUACGGGUGGCAGCAGUGGGGAAUAUUGGACAAUGGGCGAAAGCCUGAUCCAGCCAUGCCGCGUGUGUGAAGAAGGCCUUCGGGUUGUAAAGCACUUUCAGUGGGGAAGAAAGCCUUGGGGCUAAUACCCUCGAGGAAGGACAUCACCCACAGAAGAAGCACCGGCUAACUCCGUGCCAGCAGCCGCGGUAAUACGGAGGGUGCGAGCGUUAAUCGGAAUUACUGGGCGUAAAGCGCGCGUAGGCGGUCUGAUAAGCCGGUUGUGAAAGCCCCGGGCUCAACCUGGGAACGACAUCCGGAACUGUCAGGCUAGAGUGCAGGAGAGGAAGGUAGAAUUCCCGGUGUAGCGGUGAAAUGCGUAGAGAUCGGGAGGAAUACCAGUGGCGAAGGCGGCCUUCUGGACUGACACUGACGCUGAGGUGCGAAAGCGUGGGUAGCAAACAGGAUUAGAUACCCUUGUAGUC